AGCGGCGAGUGAAGCGGCAAGAGCUCAGAUUUGAAAUCGUGUUUCGGCACGAGUUGUAGAGUGUAGGCGGGAGUCUCUGUGGAGCGCGGUGUCCAAGUCCCUUGGAACAGGGUGCCUGAGAGGGUGAGAGCCCCGUAGGGUGCUGCGCGAAGCUUUUGAGGCCCUGCUGACGAGUCGAGUUGUUUGGGAAUGCAGCUCCAAGCGGGUGGUAAAUUCCAUCUAAGGCUAAAUAUUGGCGAGAGACCGAUAGCGAACAAGUACUGUGAAGGAAAGAUGAAAAGCACUUUGAAAAGAGAGUGAAACAGCACGUGAAAUUGUUGAAAGGGAAGGGUAUUGGGCUCGACAUGGGGGGUGCGCACCGCUGUCUCUUGUAGGCGGCGCUCUGGGCGCCCUCUGGGCCAGCAUCGGUUCCUGCUGCGGGAGAAGGGGCUCCGGAAAGUGGCUCUUCGGAGUGUUAUAGCCGGGGCCAGAUGCCGCGUGUGGGGACCGAGGACUGCGGCUUCUGUCUCGGAUGCUGGCAUAACGGCGCAAUACCGCCCGUCUUG
rnacentral:rRNA from 1 species